GAGCUAACGCGUUAAGUAGACCGCCUGGGGAGUACGGUCGCAAGAUUAAAACUCAAAUGAAUUGACGGGGGCCCGCACAAGCGGUGGAGCAUGUGGUUUAAUUCGAUGCAACGCGAAGAACCUUACCUACUCUUGACAUCCAGAGAACUUUCCAGAGAUGGAUUGGUGCCUUCGGGAACUCUGAGACAGGUGCUGCAUGGCUGUCGUCAGCUCGUGUUGUGAAAUGUUGGGUUAAGUCCCGCAACGAGCGCAACCCUUAUCCUUGUUUGCCAGCGAGUAAUGUCGGGAACUCCAGGGAGACUGCCGGUGAUAAACCGGAGGAAGGUGGGGACGACGUCAAGUCAUCAUGGCCCUUACGAGUAGGGCUACACACGUGCUACAAUGGCGCAUACAGAGGGCAGCAAGCUAGCGAUAGUGAGCGAAUCCCAAAAAGUGCGUCGUAGUCCGGAUUGGAGUCUGCAACUCGACUCCAUGAAGUCGGAAUCGCUAGUAAUCG
rnacentral:rRNA from 1 species